rnacentral:siRNA from 1 species
AUAGGCAUGACAGAGUUGUUUUGU